CCCCUAGAUGUUCUGGGCCGCACGCGCGCUACACUGAACAGUUCAACAAGUCUUAACCUUGGCCGAUAGGUCUGGGUAAUCUUUGAACGCUGUUCGUGAUUGGGAUAGACCUUUGCAAUUAUGGGUCUUCAACGAGGAAUUCCUAGUAAACGCAAGUCAUCAGCUUGCAUUGAUUACGUCCCUGCCCUUUGUACACACCGCCCGUCGCUCCUACCGAUGAAUCGUCCGGUGAAGUUCAUGGAGUAGUGGUUGUUCCAUCCGCUGUCGAAGUGAAAUAAACCUCAUGAUUUAGAGGAAGGAGAAGUCGUAACA
rnacentral:rRNA from 1 species